UGCUAACAAAUGCUAAAACUAGCCUCUGAUUUGGGCUGCUAAAAUAAAGACUUUUGGCUAGCUGACCAGCAUAGACCAAUUUGCUGGUUAACAGAAAACAGUGAGGAAUAGCCAACAAAAAGAAAAACUUCACUGAGUGAAAAAGGGUGAAUAUACAAGCUGGUGAUGAUCCAGAGCAGAUGAAGAAAAACCCUGAUCACCUUCUCUCUACAAAAAUGGACCUGCAAACCAAGAAGAUCUGGUCUCUCCCACCUCUUUGGCUCAACCUAUGUCUCUCUUGCUUCUGAGAGAUUUCAGCUCCACACCACUAAGCCAUAUGUCUGUUCUGUUAGGUGUUGAGCUGCAAAUCCCCAUCAACGUGGAUAGCCAGGACAGGAGCAGGGGCCUUGGUCCAAGGGACAGAACCAGCAGCUGGAUAAACACGACAUCACAGCCGUGGUCUGUAGGGUGAGAGUAGGAGUGAUCUCGUCUUUGAUUGAUGGCUCCUCUGUUAGCGAAUCCCUUAAUCAGCAUGCAGCUGACUCACUCGUUUGCGUAGGACACGCUGUCAGUGUCUUCAUUAGCAGCGCCCACACUGCUGAAAAAAAGCACAUCAACUUGUUUGAAUAAGCAACUCAAAUAUGUUGAUGUUACUUUUUAGUUUUCUGGCAGAAUACUGUUGGCCCCGCUCACGCUGAGGUGGCUUUUAUGCUGUUGACUCUGUUAGCAUUUAAAGUUUUGCAACAUGGAAAAAAAAAAAUCCAAAUUAUUUUGGAGUAACUAUGUUUCAAGCCUUAUUAGCCUUAUUACCUUAUUAGCUUUAGAAGGCUUUAAUGUUGGACGAAAAGCGUUUUGGGGCUACAGUCAAACUUUUAUAGUUAUAGUUCAAGGUAAUUGUAGCAAAUGUAGCAAAAAACUUCAUAAUAUUCAAUGACAAGGUUUAAAAAUAAAAGGCAAUUCUUGAUUUCUGCAUGCAGUUGUGGUCUGAAGCUUACAUACAUCAAUCUUGUGGUAAUGUUGUUUUUUAUAAUGAUUUCUUUGAACCAUUCUUUUUCCAGGGUGCAAUGAUUAUGCAUCAUACAUCU